rnacentral:pre_miRNA from 1 species
AUUAAGAUCGCAACUGACUCAACGUUUAGCCGUCCAUCUUAUUUAAAAAAAUAAUUAAUAGUUUUAUUGUUAUAUAAGAUGAUAAAACAUAAAUAGUAAUUUAUAUGUGACUAAUUUAUUUUUUUUAUAAAAUUUUCAAAUAAGAUAAGUGAUUAAAUGUUGGGCACGAAAAUCCACCACACACUUAAA